rnacentral:rRNA from 1 species
GAGCGCAACCCCUAUCUUUAAUUGCCAUCAUUCAGUUGGGCACUUUAGAGAGACUGCCGGUGUUAAGCCGGAGGAAGGUGGGGAUGACGUCAAGUCCUCAUGGCCUUUAUGUCUAGGGCUACACACGUGCUACAAUGGGUGGUACAAAGAGCAGCUAACUCGCGAGAGUAUGCAAAUCUCAAAAAGCCAUCCUCAGUUCGGAUUGGAGUCUGCAACUCGACUCCAUGAAGUUGGAAUCGCUAGUAAUCGCGGAUCAGCAUGCCGCGGUGAAUACGUUCCCGGGCCUU